GAAAAAGUCAUGCAAGACCUUCUCAAAUCAGGAAGUGUUCAUUAUCUGUAUCAGUACCUGAACAUAUACUUGUCUACAUAUAAGAAUGAUAAAAUGUCAUUGGAUAUUGUGGUGAGAGAACAUUUUCCUAACACAUAUUGGAAACACAACCAGUCACUGUUGGACAUGAAGCCACAGGAGCAUCUACUGCAGCUCAGACCAGAUGAGGCCUAAUAAAGAAGCAGGG
rnacentral:lncRNA from 12 species